AUUGAACGCUGGCGGCAUGCCUUACACAUGCAAGUCGAACGGUAACGCGGGGGCGAACCCUCGGCGACGAGUGGCGAACGGGUGAGUAAUACAUCGGAACGUGUCCUGUUGUGGGGGAGUAACCCAACUCGAAAGGUAGAGCUAAUACCGCAUGAUCUGGAGACAGCAAAGCAGGGGACCGGUAACGGCCUUGCGCGAUUGGAGCGGCCGAUGUCCGAUUAGCUAGUUGGUGGGGUAAAGGCCCACCAAGGCAACGAUCGGUAGCUGGUCUGAGAGGAUGAUCAGCCACACUGGGACUGAGACACGGCCCAGACUCCUACGGGAGGCAGCAGUGGGGAAGUUUUGGACAAUGGGGGCGAACCCUGACGCAGCGACGCCGCGUGGAGGAUGAAGAUUUUCGGAUCGUAAACUCCUGUCGAAUGGGACGAAAAGAUUGCGGGUGAACAGCCCGUAGUCCUGACGGUACCGUUAAAGGAAACCCCGCUAACUCCGUGCCAGCCGCCGCGGUAAUACCUGAAACU
rnacentral:rRNA from 1 species